rnacentral:rRNA from 1 species
CCUACGGGAGGCAGCAGUGAGGGAUAUUGGACAAUGGACGAAAGUCUGAACCAGCCAUGCCGCGUGCAGGAAGACGGCUCUAUGAGUUGUAAACUGCUUUUGUACGAGGGUAAACGCAGAUACGCGUAUCUGUCUGAAAGUAUCGUACGAAUAAGGAUCGGCUAACUCUGUGCAAGCAGCCGCGGUAAUACGGAGGAUUCAAGCGUUAUCCGGAUUUAUGGGGUUUAAAGGGUGCGUAGGCGGGCGGAUAAGUUAGAGGUGAAAUCCCGAGGCUCAACUUCGGAAGUGCGUUUGAUACUGGUCGGCUUGAGAGAAGUUGAGGUAGGCGGAAUGCAUAGUGUAGCGGUGAAAUGCGUAGAGAUCAUACAGAACACCGAUUGCGAAGGCAGCUUACCAGGCUACUUCUGACGUUGAGGCACGAAAGCGUGGGGAGCAAACAGGAUUAGAUACCCUUGUAGUC